CCUACGGGAGGCAGCAGUGGGGAAUAUUGCACAAUGGGCGAAAGCCUGAUGCAGCAACGCCGCGUGAGUGAUGAAGUCCUUCGGUUCGUAAAGCUCUGUCCUCAAGGAAGAUAAUGACGGUACCUGAGUAGGAAGCCCCGGCUAACUACGUGCCAGCAGCCGCGGUAAUACGUAGGGGGCGAGCGUUAUCCGGAAUUACUGGGGGUAAGGGGGGCGAAGGUGGUUUUUUAAGUCGGAGGUGAAAGGCAACGGCUCAACCGUGGUAAGCCUUUGAAACUGGGGAACUGGAGUGCAGGAGAGGAGAGUGGAAUUCCUAGUGGAGCGGUGAAAUGCGUAGAUAUUAGGAGGAACACCAGUGGCGAAGGCGGCUCACUGGACUGUAACUGACGCUGAGGCACGAAAGCGUGGGGAGCAAACAGGAUUAGAUACCCCAGUAGUC
rnacentral:rRNA from 1 species